rnacentral:rRNA from 1 species
CCUACGGGUGGCAGCAGUGAGGAAUAUUGGUCAAUGGGCGAGAGCCUGAACCAGCCAAGUCGCGUGAGGGAAGACGGUCCUAUGGAUUGUAAACCUCUUUUGUCGGGGAGCAAAAAGGCCUCGUGAGGCCACAAGUGAGAGUACCCGAAGAAAAAGCAUCGGCUAACUCCGUGCCAGCAGCCGCGGUAAUACGGAGGAUGCGAGCGUUAUUCGGAUUUAUUGGGUUUAAAGGGUUCGUAGGCGGACUGGAAAGUCAGCGGUAAAAUCGAGAGGCUCAACCUCUUUCCGCCGUUGAAACUGUCGGUCUUGAGUGGGCGAGAAGUAUGCGGAAUGCGUGGUGUAGCGGUGAAAUGCUUAGAUAUCACGCAGAACCCAGAUUGCGAAGGCAGCCUGCCAAGCCAUGACUGACGCUGAUGCACGAAAGCAUGGGGAUCAAACAGGAUUAGAUACCCCGGUAGUC